rnacentral:misc_RNA from 1 species
UCGUAAAGGUGCAUGAGUGGUGUUUGGUUUGUCACGUGUGGUUGGCUGCGGCGUUUGCAACAACUUCCAUGCUUUCAGACCUCUUCAGUUGUGCGGCAAGGCUUGUAUCGCCUUGUCGUAUUGUGGGUUUUCUGUGUUGUAUACCUAAUCAAUGGUAUCGGUUGGAUUGAUCAAUGUUUCAUUUCGUCUGUCGUCGCAUUUGCGGCGUGAGACGAACCUCGAUGCGGUCUCUUUGGCCCACCUCGUCGAAGCACAUGCUUUGACGUUGUGGCACAUUGAGCAUUGCUUGGUCUCUUGUAUACGGAACAUAUAGUGGGCAUGGAUCUAACGAUUCUUGUUUGCCCUCAUGUUAGCGUAACGCUUCUCUUACACGACUUGCUCCACGUUUUAGCUCGUACGGACGUGGU